UUGGUUUUUCUGAUCACCCCAGUACAACAUGCAGUCAUUUGGGCAACUAUGAAUUUUAUCGUACCCAAGGCCCAAAUCUUUUAUUAGUCUCUUCAUAUCUUGACAAGACUGGGGAAUUUUUGCAAAUGGAAACAUCUCUCUUAGAAACUCUAGCAGCAUUGUAAAAGAGUUUCCGGUCCACCCUCCCAAACAUUUUAAGUGAAAUAGACGAAUGCAGAAGGACAAUUUCGAAUAUUUUGAUCCCUCGUAAAGUUCUUCAUUCAUUUCAUUAAGUAAAUUGUAGAACUUAGCCGCUUCUUC
rnacentral:lncRNA from 1 species